GGAUCUUCUUUAUUGGGCUUCAGUUCUUAGCUUCUUCGUGGAGGAGUUUGAAGGAAAGCAAGAUCAUUGUGAUUUGCUAUUUCCAGGAACCAGAAAACUCUAAGUGAAAGCAGCUGAAGUGAAAGAACAGCUCUGAGUCAUUCACUGAACCGAUGGAGGUGUGGUAGGAGACAACAUCUACCCCAGUGUGGUUAUUUACCACCUUUCCUCACAAGCUUUUAGAAGAAAGAUGGAGCUUUAGCAAGCCCUAGGCAACGAGAAAAGAGAAUUGAAGCUCAUCCAGGCUUUCCUAUCCCAAUAUUUACCACCCUGGAGGAUUUCUCCCCUCAAAACUCUGUUGCCACGUAAAAUCCCAUGCUUGAUAUGAGGAAUUCUUCAGGAGCAGCAAGAAGACAGAGAGGAGCUGCAGAGCUGCCAUCUAAACGUGUUCUGCAAGG